AUUGAACUCUGGCGGCAGGCCUAACACAUGCAAGUCGAACGAGCGGCGGACGGGUGAGUAAUGUAUGGGAAACUGCCUGAUGGAUGGGGAUAACUACUGGAAACGGUGGCUAAUACCGCAUACCAUCGGAUGUGCCCCGAUGGGAUUAGCUAUGAGGUGGGGUAAAGGCUCACCUAGGCGACGAUCUCUAGCUGGUCUUAGAGGAUGACCAGCCACCCUGGAACUGAGACACGGUCCAGACUCCUACGGGAGGCAGCAGUGGGGAAUAUUGCACAAUGGGCGCAAGCCUGAUGCAGCCAUGCCGCGUGUAUGAAGAAGGCCUUCGGGUUGUAAAGUACUUUCAGCGGGGAGGCGUUACCCGCAGAAGAAGCACCGGCUAACUCCGUGCCAGCCGCCGCGGUAAUAC
rnacentral:rRNA from 1 species